rnacentral:rRNA from 1 species
GUACCCCGAGGAAAAGAAAUCAACCGAGAUUCCCUCAGUAGCGGCGAGCGAACGGGGAUUAGCCCUUAAGCAUCUUGGAAGUUAGUGGAACGGUCCUGGAAAGGCCGGCGAUACAGGGUGAUAGCCCCGUACACGAAAACAACCUUGAUGUGAAAUCGAGUAGGGCGGGACACGUGACAUCCUGUCUGAAUAUGGGGGGACCAUCCUCCAAGGCUAAAUACUCCUGACUGACCGAUAGUGAACCAGUACCGUGAGGGAAAGGCGAAAAGAACCCCUGUGAGGGGAGUGAAAUAGAACCUGAAACCGUGUACGUACAAGCAGUGGGAGCCCUUCGGGGUGACUGCGUACCUUUUGUAUAAUGGGUCAGCGACUUACAUUUUGUAGCGAGGUUAACCGUAUAGGGGAGCCGUAGGGAAACCGAGUCUUAACUGGGCGUCUAGUUGCAAGGUGUAGACCCGAAACCGGGUGAUCUAGCCAUGGGCAGGUUGAAGGUUGAGUAACAUCAACUGGAGGACCGAACCCACUAACGUUGCAAAGUUAGGGGAUGACCUGUGGCUGGGGGUGAAAGGCCAAUCAAACUCGGAGAUAGCUGGUUCUCCCCGAAAGCUAUUUAGGUAGCGCCUCGGACGAAUACUACUGGGGGUAGAGCACUGUUUGGGCUAGGGGGUCAUCCCGACUUACCAACCCCAUGCAAACUCCGAAUACCAGUAAGUAAUAUCCGGGAGACACACGGCGGGUGCUAACGUCCGUCGUGAAGAGGGAAACAACCCAGACCGCCGGCUAAGGUCCCAAAGUUCUGGUUAAGUGGGAAACGAUGUGGGAAGGCUCAGACAGCUAGGAUGUUGGCUUAGAAGCAGCCAUCAUUUAAAGAAAGCGUAAUAGCUCACUAGUCGAGUCGGCCUGCGCGGAAGAUGUAACGGGGCUCAAACCAGGCACCGAAGCCGCGGAUUCACGCUAAGCGUGAGUGGUAGGGGAGCGU